AGUCUUUAAGUUCACACAUUAUUUGUUCAAAUGGGAUUAGUGGGAAUGUCUUGUAGCCGUUCCCAUUCUGUUAAACCUCAAUCUAGAACAUUUGAUUCUACAUCUAUGGAGUGGUUCAAAGAGACUAUAUCAAUCUAUUUGGUAUAUUUGGAUAUUAAUCCUCAUGUGUCAUAAUAAUUUUCAUUUUCUUCCUCAGGGAAAGAUAACUUCUGCCUCAUUCAUGUCAGCCUAAUUCCUGAUCUGCUUACAUGUCACUUAGCUCAGGUACACUGCCUCCUGUGUACUUCUUGUGUUAGGUGAUUUUUCAUUAGAAUCGUUUGGGGAAUUGCAUCAUUGCAUUUUAUCUUUCUGGAGUAUUAUUGUGUUGGCUCAUUGUAGCACUUUUAGGCAUUUUUAUUAGUUUUUAAAUGUGUUGGCAUGAACCUAUGUAAUCAUUAUCAUCUUUGUGGGGUGCGGCAUUAUGUUGGCGCUUUACUUGCAUAAGUUUUGCUACAAACUGCUGUUGAACUUGUCGUAUAAAACUUGGCAUUGUAUCUGUAGCUUUCAUAUCAUAGAAAUAUUUUGUGAACAAUUGCAUUUUCUCAGCUUUAGCCCUUGGAUUUGCUUGUGUUUUCUCCUAUCUUACUGGAUAUCCUUUUGAUUUCUUUGUUUUCUUGAUCUAAGCUUUGUCCUAAAUUGAUGGUAAAUACACCCUUUUGGUUGGUGACUUACAGCCAUUAUUGGAUAAUACAAAGAUGAAACUUUCACAAUUUUGUCACGUUGAGGUAAAUUUGAUUGCAAAAUUUGGUUUGUAUUCUUUUGAGUUAGUUUGGUCAUCUUUACUAAGGAUUGUGUUUAUCCUUCUGGUUCUUCAAAGGUUGCGAACAUCCUAAAUAUUCAUUAUGUUCCCAACAUUUGGCAUAUUCCUCUCUUACUUAGAAACCAAAAUGCGCAUCAUUCAAUUCUGAAAUAGCUCAAUUUGCUUAAUUUAGUUUUUGGUUCAACAUUUCAUCAUCCCUCUUUCUCUAAGUAUCAUCAGAUAACUAAGUUUGUUAUAAAUUUUACUUUGUUAUGGCUUAACUCUUUACUGCACAAUGCGGCUGGCCUAGGCAAUCAAUUUGGAUUGAGGUACUAAUUGCAGGAAGUUUUGAUCAGUUUUACUAAGAGCUAUAAAGUUCUGUUUCAGCAUUGCCACACCUCCAGAUUUAGAAGCUUGGACCAGGAGAGCAGAAAUAAUGAAGUGUUGUGAUAAGGUUAAGAAAUAUGAUAAGGUUAAUAACUCAUGGAGUGUUGUGAAGAGACUACCUGUGAGGGCGGACUCUUCCUAUGGUUGGGGGCUAGCAUUUAAAGCAUGCGGAAACAGUUUACUAGUAAUAGGAGCUGGAGAUCAUGGAGGGCAUGAUGAUGGAGUAAUUGUUCUGCAUUCUUGGAAUCCAGAUGAGGAAAACAGGGAUGGACAAGAGUGGAAUGUGCUUGCUGUCAAGGCACGGGCAGGUACUUUUGUGUAUAAUUGUGCGGUAAUGGGCUGUUAAUGAGAGUUGCCGCAUCUUUAGUGCAAACAUUGACAUCUGGAAGACCAAGAUAAAUGAUCAUCUGUUAUAAUUUUUAUUGUCUCAGUAUCAUUAAUUUUAUUGUUCUUUUUCCCAUUUUAUGAUUCAGAAGAAUAAUUGACCUCGAAUCAAUUUCUUAAAGUUAUCAACUGAUUGUGUUGAUCCCUCUAUUGCAAGCAUUAACCUCAUACCAAGUAAUGACUGGUUCCAUUUAUCUUGUACUUUGGCAUUGAA